AUUGAACGCUGGCGGCAGGCCUCACACAUGCAAGUCGAGCGGAGCGGCGGACGGGUGAGUAAUGCCUAGGAAUCUGCCUGGUCGUGGGGGAUAACGUCCGGACCCGGGCGCUAAUCCCGCAUACUAUCAGAUUAGCCUAGGUCGGAUUAGCUAGUUGGUGGGGUAAAGGCCUACCAAGGCGACGAUCCGUAACUGGUCUGAGAGGAUGAGCAGUCACACUGGAACUGAGACACGGACCAGACUCCUACGGGAGGCAGCAGUGGGGAAGAGUGGACAAUGGGGGAAAGCCUGAUGCAACCAUGCCGCGUGUGGGAAGAAGGUCUUCGGAUUGUAAAGAACUUUAAGUUGGGAGGCGUUACCAACAGAAUAAGCACCGUCUAACUUCGUGACAGCAGCCGCGGUAAUAC
rnacentral:rRNA from 1 species